GCACUACUACAUGAACUUGGAUGUAGAUGAGCCUUACUUAUAGCAAAGAUUAUAGAAUUGCAGAUAAGUUUUGCUUAUGUCUUCUAUUUGUUUCUGAAUAUCAUUCAUGUUGAUGAUUUAAAAAAUAAAUCCUUAAUUGAUCAUUUAUAUGCUGCACGUUUUUAGAACUGAUCUAUCUCCUUCCUUUGUCAUUUACACCUUGUUGUGGUAUUACUAUAGGAGGAACUGCUGGUGUGGGAAAGCUACAGGGGACUCUUCACUGUCUAAUCUUAAAAGUAGGACUUUUAAUCUAGAUAGGAGGCUGCGCUAAUAAGAAAUCAACGUCAUGCUGAAAUUGGGCCCUAUUUUUCUUGCUUUUGAUAUCUGCAUUUAAUAAUUUUUUUUGUAGUUUAUUAUAUUAUAAACCUCUGAUGGAUAUUUCUUGUAGCAAUUUGAUCGCCGUUAUUGUGGCCUAACAAGGACCACAGAGAAGGCUGAUAACAAAAUGUUUGUUUCGGUAAAAUUUUAAAGGGUUAUUCAUGUCUUAGAGCAAGUGGAUAAACAUGUAUGUUAUUUUCACAACAAGAUUUGUUUAAGGCGGCAAUCUGGUAGGUUCAAGUCUGAACAGCCAAAACCUACUGAAGACUUAUUUGAGAUAGAAGAUACUAAAUUUCCACCAAUCUAGUGCUUUAUGAUUAAAUCCUUGAAGAAAGUUUAUGUCUUCUUAACUAUCAGUGAUAUCUAUAUCAUUCAAUAUUGAUUCUUUUAUGUGGAUUAAAAACGGUGUUAAAGUGUAAUAUCAUCCCCCACAAAAAAAAGAAGAAGAAGAAGAAGAAGAAGAAGAAGAAGAAGAAGAAGAAGAAGAAGAAGAAGAAAAAAAAAGAAAAAAAAAGAAAAAGAAAAGAGAAUUACUUUUUGCACAUGCUUUUUAAAUUUCAUGUAUCUUUUUAUUGUUCAGGUUAACUUGUAAAAAUGAAAUGUUCACAUUAGGGGUGUCAAUCAGUUUGGUUCGGUUUCGAUCUCAACACCGAAACCAAACAAAUAAGGAAAAUCCGAUUUUAGUUUGGCUUUGGUUUCAGUUCGGUUUGACGGUUUGCUGUAUCUAUUUGUAAUUGGGUUGGCUUUGGUUUUUGGUUCGGUUAGGCUUCUAUUUGCCAUACAAAAUUAUGCAAAAACCUGGUUUUUAAUGAGUUUUGGGCUGAUUUCGAUUUCUUGUUGGCUUUGUUUUGGUUUGGCUUUGGGGUCAUAACAUCCAAACAGUAAGCAGUCCAAUAACACUUCGGCUUGGUUUGGUCCGGGGCUAUUUCCAGUUCAGUUUUACUAGUUCGGUCUAGAUUUUGACACCCUAAUUCAUGUUCCUGUUCUAUGCGUUUAUACAUUCUUGAAGGAAUCAAGGUUUUGUUUAUGUAAUCUUGUGUACUUCACCUUUACUUAUUGUUCUUUUGAUCUUUUGAAGGUGGCAUAGAAGCUCUACCAAUAAUUUAAGCUAUAGAGGAAUUUUGAUGAGAAAAUUCGAAUUUUGUUUCCUUUCCUUACAUUCUGUUUUUUUCCAAUCCCAUAAGCAUUGAGCUUCUCAAGAAUGUUACGUAUUUGAUCUUUCUACUAAUCCCGUGAUUGUUAAUGCUUGUUAGGUCUAGGAAAACUCAGUUCAUACCCUGCGUCUUCUAACAUGUUCCUUUCUUUCCAUUUUACAAACUUGCACUUAAAUCGUAGUUUGCUUUGAAAUUAUCUGCUUACAAGUUUGCAUGCUUUAGAGUAACAUUUCUUUUUUCCUUUUCUAAUGUAUCGCAUUCAAGUUGCAACUGACCAAUGGUCAUUGUUUCAAGGAUUAAGAAUCAGAUUGAUGAAUCAGUCUUUUCAGAUCGGCAUCAGUGGUCACUGAUCCUUAUUUUGAAUGCUUUUUAUUUAUGGAACAUCAAUGAGAAGGCUUUAGAAAACCCUUAGCAGUUUGGUUCGUUUGCAGAAUACACUGAUGUUGAGGAGAAAUUGAAGGCUCCAAAACCUAAGAAUCUGGAUUUUUUUCAGCUUGCUGGCCUUCCUCUUGCCAUUGAGACUACCCAUGAGGGUCUGGAAAUAUCUGGAUUUUCUCCUGGUAAAUCUAUUCUUGUAUUGGGUGGUACAGGUGAAGUUGGAAGCUUGGUAAUUCAGGUUUUUUUUCCUCCAUUUCAAUUUCCACUUCAUAUAUUAGUCGCAGUUAUCAAGGACAUCAUCUUAAGUUGCAGAACACACUUAACACUUUCUUGCUUAUAAAUAUGAUUUAUUUUCUUCUGAAUAUUAUAGAAAAGUUUAUCAUACCCUACUUGAGCCUGCAAGUACUAGAAACAGACCUGCUCUUUGUAUGUUAAGUGAUCCUAUCUUCAAAAAUCCUUUUCAAGUAGUAUUACCAUAUGGGCUGGCAUUUAGAGGGUUCUUCAGGUAGGCCUUGGUUCUGCCAUAUGGUAGGUCAGAUGGGGCUGUUGUUUCGUGGACAAGUGCCCACAUGUCAAGUUUUAUCCUAAUCAAAGUUGUCGAAGUGGCAAGAUCAAGUGUUGAUCAAUUAAGCAGUCUAAAGAGGGUCCACAGAAAACGAUGGAUAAUUGAAAAAUAUACCAAUGCAUGGACAAAUAUGGGAAGGUAUUUGAUUGAAUUUGGGCCUGAAAUUUGACACAUAGCUUUCCUGACCAUUUCCCAAGAUAUCCCACUGUCUGAAUUGCCAUAUUACCCCUCCACAUUGCAGAAAUAGGUCCACUUAGAAAACCUCUUUCAGCAGGCUAGUCUAGAAAAACUUUUAACUCUUAGAAUUAGAAUUGAACUCAUAAUAGUCUUCUUUACUUUCACUGCCUUGAUGCAUUCUUAUUCCUUUUACCAAACUUUGUCAACCUUCCUCCCCCCUAAUGGAAUUAUAAAUUAAAUGCAUAAUGGUUCUGAAUCACCUAACAUUUAUUUCACUUAGCCUCUAACUUUGGUUUGAGGCAGCUAGCAAAGGAGGUAUUUGGUGCAUUUAAAAGUUCCAAACUUACUAAAUAUGUGGAAGUUAGUUCUGUAUUGCUUAUCACUUAUUUCAUUUUUCCCUCGCUUUGGUUCGAGGCAGCUAGCAAAAGAGGUAUUUGGUGCAUCAAAAGUUGCUGCUACUUCAAGCACUGGCAAACUGGAUGCAAUAGAGGCAAGAGCUGUAGGAUUGAACAUAGUGAGGGAGAUAUGCCUACGCAAAAGAAUAAGCGAAGAUUAUUUUAGUGAUACAUGGGCUGAAUAGAAAGGAUUCCAAUGCAAAAUCAGAAACUCAUAAUAUUUGUUGGGAUGAGCAACUGAGUAUCAAACUAAUGGAUUCCUCUACAUUUGAGCUGAGUAUUCCCCCACACCAACCUCUCCCUCUCCCUUUCCCUUUCCCUUUCUCUCUCUCUCUCUCUCUUUCUCUCAAAUGGGAACAUGCAUAAUAAGUAGCGGACAUAAAUCAGUCUAUGUGAUAGAGGAUUUCAUACCCAUUCUAUGGUUAAGUUUCAACCUAAAUAAAUAUACAUUGUCGCUCAUACUUAGUUCAAAAUUAUGAAAGGGCUAGAGAUGUACCCCAAAUGAUGGUGGAUCCUUGUGCAAUUUAGUCACUUAAAACUUUGGACACACUGCAUGACUUUCUCAUUUUGGGAUGAAAUUUACACAUUGAGAUUUGUGCUGUAUUGGUGAAUUUAACCAAGUUGACCAGCUUUUAUGAUCCAGAUCAUUCUGGAUAGCUGAUUUGUGGUAGCAAACCCAUAUUCAGUGGA